UGGGGAAUAUUGGACAAUGGGCGAAAGCCUGAUCCAGCCAUGCCGCGUGAGUGAUGAAGGCCUUAGGGUUGUAAAACUCUUUCGCUGGGGAAGAUAAUGACGGUACCCAGUAAAGAAGCCCCGGCUAAUUUCGUGCCAGCAGCCGCGGUAAUACGAAAGGGGCUAGCGUUGUUCGGAAUUACUGGGCGUAAAGCGCGCGUAGGCGGCAUGCCAAGUUGGGGGUGAAAUCCCUGGGCUCAACCCAGGAACUGCCUCCAAAACUGGCAAGCUAGAGGAUGUGAGAGGAUAGUGGAAUUCCGAGUGUAGAGGUGAAAUUCGUAGAUAUUCGGAAGAACACCAGUGGCGAAGGCGACUGUCUGGCACAUUUCUGACGCUGAGGUGCGAAAGCGUGGGGAGCAAACAGGAUUAGAUACCCCCGUAGUCC
rnacentral:rRNA from 1 species